CCCAAACCUCGCUCCUAGUCAAGACCUGAGGGCGUUUAGAACUUGGGAUCUGGAUCUUGGGAAACGGGUAUUUUUGCUGUCCUGAUUUCCCUGCAAAAGAUGGGAAUUCUAGACGAGCUCUUGAGCUAACAAACGCUUUAGCUGCAGUAGGUCUAGAAAUGGUGUUCUCCGGGGGGCAGAUUUUUGAGAGAGAUUUGUAACUUCUUUGUUUUACUUUUAGAUUUUAGAAACACACAGAGAAAUUACAACUUGCCUCUGAUAGAUUUCCCUCUUAGGCUAGUGUCUUUUUUGUGUUCAUGCUGGGCUGUAGUGCUUAAGCCCGAGCCGAGAAUAUACUGCUUCUCCACUGGUCUGUUCAGCAAUCAGGAGCGAGAAUGCAUGGCAGGAGAACGAUUACAGAAAUCGGAGUAACUUGAGGUUCGAGCGGCAUUGGAGAAUAUCCUGUAAAAGAAACACAAACAAAAACAAAAACGCGACACUAAUUCAUAAAUAAAUGAAGCAAGCAAGCGCGGAUGUGGGCGGCUGUGAGGCCAGGGAAGAAUGUGGCUUUUGCAUAAAUAGGAAGGAGCAGAAGAAGUUAGAAGAUAAAGGAAGUGAGAGGAAUCGAGCAGGUCAGCAGCUGUCUCGCGGUUUUGCAGGGCCUAUUUUGGCGAAUCUGGCAUAUGCGGUCAUGCGUCAAGCUGGACUUUGCGGGGAGUCCUAUAUUUACCAGAGCAGGAGAUAAUGAAGGUGAUGCAGAUGGAACUGAGUCACCAGGCUUUGGGUGCCAUGAGAGACCACAAGGUCUGACGGAGAGUCAUUUUCUCCAGGAGAGGGAGUGGCUCUUUGCCCUGAUGACUUCCGUUCUGUCCUUGGAUUGUAGGAAAGUAUAUGGGCUGGAAAGAUGAAGUCACGAAUAAGGUACAGCAACUUUUGGACAAGUAAGAUCCUGUGUGGUUGACUGAUCUGCUUUUGUCACCUGGGACCCUGGUCUCUUCUGGCUCCUUCCUUAUCAGGACCCACAAGUUUAAGAACAGUAAAACUCUCCCUGACUCUAGAAUACCUACAGUUCAAAAUCCGCCUGAGAAAAAAAUGAUUCAGGGUGCUGGUGGUUAAGGACAAGAAUGUUAAUGGAGAGGAAUCCAGGCAUUCUUUGAGAAUAAUCAGGGAAAGCAAAUUAUUUAGUAAGAUUUCUUUGAUUUAAAGAAAAGUUUUUUAUGUGUUUAUUUAUUUUGAGAGAGAGAGAGAGCAUGAGCAGGGGAGUGGCAGAGAGAGAGGGAGAGAGAGAAUCCCAGCAGGCUCCGUGUUGCCAGUACAAAGCCUAAAGUGGGUCUCAAGCUCAUGAACCAUGCUAUCAUGACCAAGAUUCCAACGUGUAACUGACUGAACCACCCAGGUGCCCCAAGGUUUCUUUGAUUUUCUCCUCCUCCUCAUUCUGCCCCUCUGUUAUACUACUUAUGUGUUUUUCCAAAGCAAUGGGCUCGCUGUGCUGUGGUUCUCCUGAUUAAAACUCCAGUCUUAAAAGUCCCAUGUUUCACCCUGUGGGUCCCAUCAAGACCCCCACAUUUGGGUGAUGUACAAAAUAUGACUUUCAACAAUCAACUCAUGGUGAAGCUAUAAACCAAGUGUUUGCUCCCUAACACUAGCAUUCAAAUGAGGUUGACCAUAAUGAAAUAUUGUCAGAUAUAUGAGCUCAAGGAUUUUCUUUCCUACUUCUCAUGUUCCAGGUCUAUUAAAUAAUUGAUGUUCACAACUGAAUGCACAGAGAACCCAUGGAUAUUUAUGUGGUUGAACCAAAAAGCUGAAUAUAGACCUUCCAAACAUACGACAAUGUAUAAUUUGGGGCCAUCCGGCAUGAACUUAAUACUGGAAAAGCAACUGAUGUUUUGCUAAGAACGUAGACUUCAAAUAUACUAGUAUACUUCUAAAUCAGAAGCAGAGUAUUGAAAUAGCCUUGGAUCUAUGCUCUCUGUGAUUGCAUUUACAACACCAUUUACUGUAGAAUCUAUUGCAAAGGCCACCAUUCUUAAAUCGAUUCUCAGCUUUAAGACAAAGAAUUAGGUAUCUCAUAGCUGGGACAGUAGUAAAGGGUUGAAGUAACCACUGAAGAAGUUAUUUUUCAGUCCUAAUGUUACAUAUGUGAAUGGAAAAAAAAAAAGCCUGUGCAUUUACUCAUUUGCUUAUUUACAUUAUACUACCAGAUACUCUCAGGAAAAGAGAGAGAAAGGUGAAUUAUGAAUUGUCUCUCAAAAGUAGGUAGGUAGGUAGAUACACAGUCAGGUGGAUGAGACAGGCAAGGGCAAUCAUUGACCUCCAUGUGGUCAUUGAGAUAUGUGUUGGCUACUAUAAAGACAGUAUAGCAUAGUGGCUCAUGGUCUAGAUUUGGGCUCAAAUUCUGACUUUUCCCCUUACCAACCGUGGUAGCUUGAGGCAACUUCCCUGAGCACUCUGGGAAUUAAUUUCUUCAUCUGUGAAAGAGGAAUCCUAGUAGUCCUCAUCUUAACGAGUCUUUUUGAGGAUGAUGUUAGAACAGCUCUUUGCAAAGUGUGGUCUUCUUAAAGUGUGGUCUGGGGCCUCCCGAAGUCCUUGAGAUCCUUUCAAGGGUUCUGCAAGAGCAAAACUAUUUUCAUAAUAAUGUGAAGACAUAUUUGCUUUUUUCACUCUCUUUUUCUAAUAAUACUAAGCUUUUACAUGCCUUUUCCUUCUUUUUCUUUCAUGAGUGUACAAUGGAGUUUUCAAGAGGCCACCCGAUGUGAUAGCUCAACAGAUUGAAUGCAGAAGAUACAAGAAUUCAGAUUUCUUCUAUGAAGCUAGACAGUAAAGAGAUUUACAGAUGUGUAAACAAAAUCACUUCUCACAUUUUCUUGUUUUGAAACAUGCAUUAUUUUUUCAUUAGAAAGUAUUUGUUAACAUUUUACCAUGAUUUUCAUCUGAAAUUGAUGAUUUAUCUCAGUCGUUGUUUUUAAAUGAAUUAAUGACUGUUUUGGGUAUUUUCUCAGCUUUAAUUUCUAGUGUUACAAAUAUUGAUAGAUAUGACCUACAUAAACAGAAGCCCUUUGGUGUCCUCAAGGGAGAAUGUAAAUGGGGCCAAACACCAAAAAGUUUGAGAGUAACUAAAUGAAAUCAUUGUCUGAUACAUAGAACGGCCAGUAUGAGACCUAAAAGCUAGAUUGUUUGUGAUGGGGAUUCUGUUGAUGACUCAGUGGAAAAACGGUGGUCAAGGAAGCCAAAGGAUUGAAACCUAAGAUGAGUUUAGAAUAGCUGGUCUAAUCUGCAUCUCUAGAUUUAAGAGGUGGUGAGUAAAUUAACCUGGACAUUGGUCAUAUUUGCCAGAUUGUAUUUAUCAUGAUAGGGUUACAAACGGAGGUGGGAGAUUGUGCUGGCAUGGAAGUACUGAACGUCGACUUGGAAAGACAAAACUUUUACAUAGAUAACUCAUUGUCUAGGUUUACAAAAUAAGGGCUUGUAUCAGUGGAGGAAGGAAGGGGUAUUUGUGACGGCGUGUGAUAAAAGCCAAAAAAGACCAGGAGGUGUGGGAAGAGUCAUAGAAGGUUAUCUUUGAAGGGACAUGUGGUUAUCCUUUGUAGCAAACAUUUUAUUUUUAUGUUUUAAAAUUACACAAGGAUUGCGUGAAUAGGUUUUGUACUUAAUUAUUCUAACUGUCCUAAGUGGGAAUUUUUUGUGGGGAGGGAGCUUGGGCAGUGAAGUUGAACCUUUAGCCCUCUACUCAAUCAUCCUCUUCUAUCCUGAGAUGAUUUUCAUAAACAGUUUGGUAAAUAUCUUUCCAGGCCUUUUUUAAAAUUCAUUAAAGAGAGAAUAAUAAAAUCAAAACUUACAGCCCUUUCCA
ensembl:lncRNA